UUUUUCACCACCCUAAACAGCACAUACCCUAAAAUUGGAACCAUACGGAGGAAGAUUAGCAUGCCCCCUUCACAAGGAUGGCACGCAAAUUCGUGAAGCAUUCCACAUGGAA
ensembl:snRNA U6 U6 spliceosomal RNA